UGACAGGUGCUGCAUGGCUGUCGUCAGCUCGUGUCGUGAGAUGUUCGGUUAAGUCCCGCAACGAGCGCAACCCUUAUCUUUAGUUACCAUCAUUAAGUUGGGGACUCUAAAGAUACUGCCCCGGUUAACGGGGAGGAAGGUGGGGAUGACGUCAAGUCCUCAUGGCCUUUAUGUCCAGGGCUACACACGUGCUACAAUGGGUUGUACAAAGGGUUGCGAACUCGCGAGAGUAAGCCCAAAUCCCAAAAAGCAACUCUUAGUUCGGAUUGGAGUCUGCAACUCGACUCCAUGAAGCUGGAAUCGCUAGUAAUCGUGGAUCAGCAUGCCACGGUGAAUACGUUCCCGGGCCUU
rnacentral:rRNA from 1 species